GCGCCUGUAAGUCAUUGAAAAUAAAGGAAAGAGUCGGCUUAGCCUAGACCCUAGCUACGAACCAAAAGGUCGCACGUUCGAGUCGUGCCGGGCGCA
rnacentral:tRNA from 1 species